rnacentral:rRNA from 1 species
GNAUUUAUUGGGCGUAAAGGGAGCGCAGGCGGUUUAGUAAGUCUGAAGUUAAAGGCAUUGGNUCAACCAAUGUAUGCUUUGGAAACUGUUAGACUUGAGUGCAGAAGGGGAGAGUGGAAUUCCAUGUGUAGCGGUGAAAUGCGUAGAUAUAUGGAGGAACACCGGUGGCGAAAGCGGCUCUCUGGUCUGUCACUGACGCUGAGGCUCGAAAGCGUGGGUAGCGAACAGGAUUAGAUACCCUGGUAGUCCACGCCGUAAACGCUGAGUGCUAGGUGUUAGGUCCUUUCCGGGACUUAGUGCCGACGCUAACGCAUUAAGCACUCCGCCUGGGGAGUACGACCGCAAGGUUGAAACUCAAAGGAAUUGACGGGGGCCCGCACUAGCGGUGGAGCAUGUGGUUUAAUUCGAAGCAACGCGAAGAACCUUACCAGGUCUUGACAUCCCGAUGCCCGCUCUAGAGAUAGAGUUUUUCUUCGGAACAUCGGAGACAGGUGGUGCAUGGUUGUCGUCAGCUCGUGUCGUGAGAUGUUGGGUUAAGUCCCGCAACGAGCGCAACCCUUAUUGUUAGUUGCCAUCAUUAAGUUGGGCACUCUAGCGAGACUGCCGGUAAUAAACCGGAGGAAGGUGGGGAUGACGUCAAAUCAUCAUGCCCCUUAUGACCUGGGCUACACACGUGCUACAAUGGUUGGUACAACGAGUCGCAAGCCGGUGACGGCAAGCUAAUCUCUGAAAGCCAAUCUCAGUUCGGAUUGUAGGCUGCAACUCGCCUACAUGAAGUCGGAAUCGCUAGUAAUCGCGGAUCAGCACGCCGCGGUGAAUACGUUCCCGGGCCUUGUACACACCGCCCGUCACACCACGAGAGUUUGUAACACCCAAAGUCGGUGAG